rnacentral:lncRNA from 1 species
AUGCACUGUCCCUUGGGUGGCGACCUGCAUUCCCUAGAUCUUGGCACCGCCUCUCCUCGAGGCCCCGCCCCUGACCCGCCCCCUCCCAGAGUGCUUUGUGUCAGCUCUGGCCGAGUGGACAAGUGGACGCAGCUGGCUGCUGGACUUCGGGACUUCUCUCUCUGGAUCCCAUCCUGCCUGCGACACAGGGACAGGAAUGCAGCUGGCAGCAGCCUAUGGGGGCAGUCAGAAUCUGAGAAUUGGAAACCAAGGCUGCCAAAGAUCACACAGCUAGUUUAAAUGGUGAAGCUGCAAUUCUUACCCGGGAGCAAGCCAUCAAGGCUGGAGCUGGUGGGUG